rnacentral:rRNA from 1 species
UUUGCCUACGGGGGGCAGCAGUGAGGAAUAUUGGUCAAUGGCCGGAAGGCUGAACCAGCCAAGUCGCGUGAGGGACGACUGCCCUAUGGGUUGUAAACCUCUUUUAUAAGGGAAGAAUAAAUGCUACGUGUAGCAUGAUGCCUGUACCUUAUGAAUAAGCAUCGGCUAACUCCGUGCCAGCAGCCGCGGUAAUACGGAGGAUGCGAGCGUUAUCCGGAUUUAUUGGGUUUAAAGGGUGCGUAGGCGGAAUGCCAAGUCAGCGGUAAAAUCGCGGUGCUCAACCUCGCUCCGCCGUUGAAAC